GACGAACGCUGGCGGCGUGCUUAACACAUGCCAGUCGAACGGUGAAGCGCCUUCCUUUUUGGUGGGUGUGGACGAGUGGCGAACGGGUGAGUAACACGUGAGUAACCUGCCCCCUUCUUCUGGAUAACCGCAUGAAAGUGUGGCUAAUACGGGAUAUUCUGGGUCUGUCGCAUGAUGGGUCUGGGCACGAUAUUGUUUCGGUGGGGGAUGUGUUCGCGGCGUAUCUGGUUGUUGGUGGGGUGAGGGCCUACCAUGGCGGUGACGGGUAGACGGUCUAAGAGGGUCGACCGUCACACUGGGACUAAGACGCGGCCAAGACUCCUAGGGGAGGCAGCAGGGGGGAAUAUUGCACAAUGGGAAGAAGCCUGAUGCAGCGCCGCCGCGUGAGAGAAGGAGGUCUUCUGGUUAUGAACCUCUUGCUCCAGUGAAGCAGGCCUGCCUCGUUUGUUGCUGUGUUGACGUUAGCUAGAUAAUAAGCGCCGGCUAACUACGUG
rnacentral:rRNA from 1 species